UGGGGAAUAUUGCACAAUGGGGGAAACCCUGAUGCAGCGACGCCGCGUGAGCGAAGAAGGUUUUCGAAUCGUAAAGCUCUGUCCUAUGAGAAGAUAAUGACGGUAUCAUAGGAGGAAACCCCGGCUAAAUACGUGCCAGCAGCCGCGGUAAUACGUAUGGGGCGAGCGUUGUCCGGAAUUAUUGGGCGUAAAGGGUACGUAGGCGGUCUAUUAAGUCAGGUGUGAAAGCGUGAGGCUUAACCUCAUUAAGCACUUGAAACUGAUAGACUUGAGUGAAGGAGAGGAAAGUGGAAUUCCUAGUGUAGCGGUGAAAUGCGUAGAUAUUAGGAGGAAUACCGGUGGCGAAGGCGACUUUCUGGACUUUUACUGACGCUCAGGUACGAAAGCGUGGGGAGCAAACAGG
rnacentral:rRNA from 1 species